rnacentral:rRNA from 1 species
CACGUAGGGCGCAAGCGUUGUCCGGAAUUAUUGGGCGUAAAGAGCUCGUAGGCGGUCUGUUGCGUCCGCUGUGAAAACUCGGGGCUUAACCCCGAGCCUGCAGUGGAUACGGGCAGACUAGAGGUAGGUAGGGGAGAAUGGAAUUCCCGGUGUAGCGGUGAAAUGCGCAGAUAUCGGGAGGAACACCGGUGGCGAAGGCGGCCCACUGGCUCGAUACUGACGCUGAGGUGCGAAAGCGUGGGGAGCAAACAGG